GCCCGUGUAGCUCAGUGUAGAGCAAUUCUCUUGUAAGGAAUAGUGCGCAGAAUCGACCCCUGCCACGGGCACCA
rnacentral:tRNA from 1 species